rnacentral:lncRNA from 1 species
AUCCCUGACCUUGCUCAGUGGGUUAAAGGUCCAGCAUUGCCAUGAGGUGUGGUGAGGUCACAGAUGUGGCUUGGGCAUGGUGUUGCUGUGGCUGUGGUGUAGGCCAGCAGCUGUAGCUUCAAUUCAAACCCUAGCCUGGGAACCUCCAUAUGCUGUGGGUACAGCCCUUAAAAAAAUAAAAAAUAAAUAAUGUAUUCUAAAAGUAAAACCUAACUAUUAAUCUAUUAUGUUUAUUAGCUUCUUGGUUAACAGGUCCAGAGGCUAAUGGCAGUAGUAACUGAAAGCUAGCAUGUAAUAAUUUAUUUUACUUUAGAUUUUUAGAUAAAACAGCAAAAUCAUACAUCACUUUAACCUUCAGUUUCCUCUCACAUCUAGUUUACCCAGAGUCCGUAUGUCAUCUGACAUGAGUCCAAGGCUUCUGAGAAGAAAGCUCACAGCAAAAGGGUAGAAGCUGUGAGGAAAUCUGGGAUGACUGUGUAAGCAGGUCUUAAUGGCUGUUCUUUGGCCUAAUUUACAAAGUCCUCUUGCUACACGUAAAAAUUCUGAUGUUUCCGACACAAAAUUAAAAUGGUGCCACAACCAGAUCAUGAUGCAAGUCCAAAUGCCAUGUAAUUGCUCCAUCACCCCUAGGAGAUGUUCUGAUUAAAAUGAGUCACAUUGACCUUGGAUGACAUGGCCUAAGGGGCAAUUAUUCCCCAAGAGACUUAAUUAAAUACAAUUAGACCAGUGAGAGUACAUUUAACGAGGCCCCUUGUGAUACCUAUGUUUCUAAUUUAUUUUUCCAGCAACUUUCACUAAUGAUUUGAUUCACUCAGAAUCCAUCAAUAGAUAAUGAUUGGACACUCACUACUACCAGGCACUGAUGGGAUACCUGGAUUCCACAGUUCAAGGAUUAGAGAGAAAAGACAGACACAUGACAAGUUAAACAGUCAUACAAGAUUGUAAGUGUUUAUAGGCUAAAUGAGUAGUAGGAGAAAGGGCAAAAUAUAAUUUGAGGAAGAGGUGCUCACUAUGUGUUGGAAGCAGACCACAGAUGGCCUUAGGGAAAACUUGGAGGCUAUGAGGAAAGAUAGAAUGAUACCUUUGAAUGAUAGAAUUCUAAGCUGGAAAGGGUUUUAGGAAUCAUCUUUUCUUAUAACCUCAUCUUACUGUGAGUACUCUGGAGCUCUUACUAGCUUAUCUGGCUUAGUCAAAACCAUGCUACUGGUGAUAUUUUAGGAAUGAACAGUAUAAGCAAGCUGAGUGGUGCAGAUGUAUAGCUAUAUUUGGGGGAUGGGGUAUUGAUUGGUUGGGUAAGAUAAAUAGUAUAAGAAAAUAUAGGCUUAAAAGAUGGUUUGGGUCUAUUUAUAAAAAGCCACCUUUUGAGUUUGGAAUUGAUUGUAUCAACAAAAAGGAAUAGAGACAUAUACUUGAAUUGUGAGGUUUUAUAAUUUAAGUGGUGUUUUCUAGAAGAUUAAUCUGGUAGUCUCGAUCCAGAUGUAUGGAAAAUAAUGACUGAUGUAGGCCCAGACCAGGCUAGUAAUAAUUAUAACAAGAGCAUCAAUGGGAACAACAAUCUCUAGUGAUGAUAAUGAGAAACAAAAAGCAUUGUGCAAGUAAUUCUGGACAAGAAAGGAACAGUAUCACAUAUGACUCCAGGGUUUCAAGCAAGGUUAUAAGGUGACAGCAGAAGUAGAGGCUGUCAGAGACAGGAACCAGAGUUGAAAGCAGGAUGGUCAAGGAGACUCUGAGAGGAAAAGGUGUGGUUCUAGACCAGAGAGUUCUAGGAUGGCUUAAGAUUUGACAGUCAGGAAUGAGCUAGGGUCCAGAUGAACAGUUUGAAACUGAGGUGAACUUGGACACUUUACGUCCAAGCAAGGCCCCAGAAUUAACAGACUGCUAGAGAACAGGAGGGCCAAGACACUGAAGGAAUAGUUAUAGCCUGCUCAUACCAAUGGUCAAAUGCAGGAAAUUUGGAAUGAACUCUUAAGAUCAUAAGCCAGACCUGCACCUUAGGCAGCAACAAACAAGGAGAGUUUGGUGAGCAGAAAAGGCAAGGGUUGAGGCAAGAGAUCACAGACAGUGUGGAUGUGCUGCAUUAAGGAACCACUGAUACUGCUAAAUAGACCCCCCAAGGCAGACAAAGAGUUCUAUAAGGGCAUCUGCAAGUCUGGAAGAGCCAUUAGGAAGGAAGAGAAAAAGGAGAAACAAAUGGAAAUGGUAAUUUUUAUAUAGAAGUAAUUACCGCAGGAGAAAACAGAACAUUAGCGAAUUUUUGAUUAUAUAUAUAAUGUAUAAAUAAUAAAAUAAUAUAGUAAUGUGUAUAUUUUACUAAUUAGUACUUUUUUUUCUUUUUUAGGGCCGCAGGUGUGGCAUAUGGAAAUUCCCAGGUUAGGGUCAAAUCAGAGCUACAGCUGUACAGCACCAGCAUAUGCCACAGCCACAGCAACGCCAGAUCUGAGCUGCAUCUGUGACCUAACCACAGCUCGCGGCAACACUGGAUCCUUAACCCACUGAGCAGGGCCAGGGAUUGAACCUGCAUCCUCAUGGAUACUAGUUGGGUUCGUUUUUGCUGAGCCACAAUGGGAAUUCCCUAUUUUUAUUUUUAUUCAUAAGCAGGCAGGGCAUAUGUGUGUGGAAGCAGAACAUGAAGUUGUCAGUGAGGCUAAAUGUACUUAUCUGAGCCUUCUGAAUACUGAGGAAAGCUUUACUCCAAAUGAAGAAGUUAGAUGUUUCCUUCUAUGUUAGUGACUGCCUUACCACCAAAUUGCUAUAGAAGUAGGGUCAUGUGCACUCUUGCUUGCAGAGAGGGAAUUCAUCCAAAUCUGAUUUAGUUCUUAAAAAAAUAUCAGGAGAUAGGGCUGAUUUCCAGGAGGAAUGAUGCCUUUGUUGUGCUGAUGUGGAGGUAACAGAAGAACAUUGAAGGAAAAUUUUUUACUAGCCAGUUGAUGGAGGAUAAGAGCUAGAAGUGUAGAUUUUAGAGUCAUACACAGAACUGAGAAAUGAAAGUGGUAGGGGAGGCAUUGUUGCUUCUCAGCAAUAGUCACAUUAACUGUUAUUUACAUAAACUUGUUUCUGUUACCUCAAUUUUGAAGGUACUGACUCAUUUUACACAAGCAAGAACAUAAGCGGCUGUGGUAGACUUUGACCUCAGUUGGACUUGAUCAUAAUUAGAUGGACAGCUGCGGAAGUUUGUGAAUUACACUUACACAUGGUGGUGUGGCAUGGGUUUAAAAAGAAGCCUGCAGCGAAGAGGGAGCAGGUCAAAAUCUAGUGACUGGCUGGUUGUCAGCAACCACUGGGCAUGUGCUUAAUAAAGCAGGGUUUAUAGCUCCAACAGUCACUUGAGUGAAGACUGGUUCAUGUCAGCUUUUGAAAAAUUAAGGGAAAUGUGGCUGAAAAGAUUCUCUCUUGAGGUUUCAGAUAUUUUCUGGUUGCUGUCAUAGAAUCCUUAUCCUGGCCUUUCACAUGGCAUUCUGGAACUUCUAUCCUUAUUUCAGCCUAAGCUACAGAGCCAAAAUGAAAAUAAAAAAUCUCAAACCAAACAGUAUUCUGUGGGAAAAACUGCUUUUGAAUGAAGGUUCAUCCUUAUUUAGGUGCUUGGUUUAUAUAAAUGUCUGAAUAUGGAAUACAAUGACCAAACUCUUUAGGUACACAUUUUUUUCACUAAACCAGCUUUAGUGCCAUUAACCAUGGGUGAAUUAUGGGGUGGGUAUGACACCAUUAAUGUAGAGACAGUUCUAGGUCCCUUGGUUUGGUGAUAGCAAGGAUGAGUGUGUUCCAUGCCAGCUCUGUUGAAAUGCACCCAAUUUUAGAAUGACAAUUUAAUAUAAGCAGCCAAACAUGGACUUAGUCCAACCUCAAAUGUCCUACUAAAACUGUGCGAUGGUCCAUAAAGAUAGCUCCGUCUCUAGGAAUUUUAUGGACUAAAACAGUGUGCUGAAGUGAUAAAUAGCACUCCCAAUACUUCCAUUAAGAGCCAUGUCUGUAUUUCUUUAGACCACCAUGCAGCACAGAGAAAUGUCUGGCAGAGGGGAACUAAGUAUGAAGUCUGUAUUCUCCUGAUUCUACUUGUGACUCCAGUUUUUUAAAUCUUCAAAAUGGAAGAAAAAAAGUUCUAAUAACCAAUUGCAAGAAUAUUAUGGCUCCAUUGCUUUGAGAACACACUUUCUACUGUGUCAUUCAUGUCCUUUCCGUAACAGUUCAUGAUCCCUGACGUGUUUCUUUCAGAAUUGACACUCCUGCACACAUACUUGCUAAACAUCUUUAAAUUUAAAUUCAAAUAAUGAAAAUUACAUGACAUGUUGGGUUUUCUUUGUUCACUAGUCUCUAGGGAGUUCUAAAUUCAGCUAAAUUCAGUGCUGAAUUCUUUAUGCCAAGCAUCAGAUAAAAUGAUCUUCUGCCUCCUUUAUCUGUGUUAACCCUCUUUAAAAAAAUAUAUAUCCAUUACAAGUGUAUUUUGACAAGUUUUUAACCUCACAGUAUUUGAAGGGCAGUUGUGGGGUAUUAAAAAGAAAAGCAGGAAUUGUGAUCAGCUCUUCAUCACCUUUGCUGAAUGCUCAUCCUGACUUGAGUUGUUUUUCUGAACACAGCCUGGCUUCAUUGGUGAGUAAGAUUAAUGCUCAAUGUAUUGUCUUACCACUAAGGUUACUAUGGGGAUCUUGUUCCUAUAUAUUACACUCCAAACCAGAAGGCAGUGGAUUUAAGAUGGAAGAUAGAGAAAGUGAGGUGAAGAAGGAGCAAGGAAAGAAUAUAUAGUUACAUGAAGUGAGAAUAAAAGUGUGUUUGAGUAAUUUUUAUCAAAUACUUUGAAAUUCAUUUUCUCUCUGUAAUUUUCCACACUUACCCACCAUUUAUCUUUCAUUAGUGACAGUUUUUUAUAAUGGGAGUGCUAUAGGAUCUCAGAGAAAUAAGGAUAUACUGAAAUGUUUUACUUUUUUUUUUUUCUUGUCUUUUUGCUUCUUCUAGGGCUGCUCCCGCUGCAUAUGGAGGUUCCCAGGCUAGGGGUUUAAUCAGAGCUGUAGCCGCAGGCCACAGCCACAGCCACAGCAAGGUGGGAUCUGAGCUGCGUCUGCGACCUACACUGUAGCUCAUGGCAACACCGGAUCCUUAACCCACUGAGAAAGGCCAGGGAUUGAACCCACAACCUCAUGGUUCCUAGUUGGAUUUGUUAACCACUGAGCCACGACGGGAACUCCUGAAAUGUUUUGCUUUAGCCAGUCCUCUUGGUCUUUGCAAUUUGGGACUGGGACAAUCUCAAAAUAAUGUAUCUGGGACUAUCUCAAAAUAUCAGCAACUGUGAGAUUUAUAACUCCUGAGGAACUCAUAGGGUACCUAACAAAAUGAACAUCUGGGUUGGGCUUUAACUAACGAUUUAGCAUUGAAAUGCCUCAGAGAAAUCAUGAAUGAAUUUAUUCUGUAAGAGGAAAAAUUGCCAAAAUAUGCCAACUCCUCUGGAUGCCUGAGGACUAAAAUCUUAAUCAUAUUCUCAAUGAGGUAGAAGAACCCACAUUCUUCUCCUGAAAUUUAAAGGUAGAAAUUGUGGCUGUAUUGUGACUAUUUAGUGACUAUUUAUUCUUACAUAGAAUGAAGAAGGUUAUGGUCAAGAAACUAACUUUACAUUUUGUACUAUGUAUACAUCAAGAAGAUACUCACAUCCUUAAUAGCAACUUUAAUUUUUUAUAAGACUGAUAGGAGAAGUCCAAUGAGAAAGGACUGGUAGGAUAUUGAUGUGCAUAACAGUAGUUGCAUUUCUUCUUCAUUGAGAGUUUCUUAAUCUUUCCAUUGCUGGAAUACUGUAAUCCCUCUCUCCUAAGGUCUAACACAGACUGGGUCUACCUAGGGCUGAAGGAGCUAUUCAUUCUGAUUGAAUUAAUCUUUCAAAUUCAUCAGAUAAGCUGCUCCAGAUUUCCGUUAAUUGUCCAUUUUAUUUACUAACCUGAUUGAUUUAAGCAUUUGUUUCAGGGUCGCUUAAACAUACAUAACUGUAGUAUCUGUGAUGUCUGUAAAUUAAAUUGAUCUUAUUGAAAUUUAAUGCUUGAAAACAAAAAUACCUAUCUCUAAGGAGUGCAGAAAACUUAUAUAAAGCCAAUUCAUUUUCCAUUUAUUUUUAUGCACUUGUUCAACAAAUACUUUUUCAGUAUUUAACAGCUAUGAACCAGUCUGACCUAUUAUCUAUCCCCUUUGUCCCUAGAGCUCAUGGCUAGGGACUAGUAGGUGAUGACCAUCUACAAUGUUACAGUGUUCAUCUACCAUGUUACAGUGAGGUGUUAGUCCAGGGAGCCAUGGGAGGACAUGAGCAGGUCAUCUCACCUAUGGUGAAAAAGGGUGGAGGCAGAGAACAGACCAGGCUUCCCAGAGGAAGUGCCCAAAGUAGCUGGAAGAGAUGAUGAGGAAAGACUGAUGCAAUAAGGGGAAAUAAAUAUGUGACCUAUUUUCUACUGU